AGUGAACGCUGGCGGUAGGCCUAACACAUGCAAGUCGAACGGCAGCACGGUAAGAGCUUGCUCUUACGGGUGGCGAGUGGCGGACGGGUGAGGAAACAUCGGAAUCUACUUUUUCGUGGGGGAUAACGUAGGGAAACUUACGCUAAUACCGCAUACGACCUACGGGUGAAAGCAGGGGAUCUUCGGACCUUGCGCGAUUGAAUGAGCCGAUGUCGGAUUAGCUAGUUGGCGGGGUAAAGGCCCACCAAGGCGACGAUCCGUAGCUGGUCUGAGAGGAUGAUCAGCCACACUGGAACUGAGACACGGUCCAGACUCCUACGGGAGGCAGCAGUGGGGAAUAUUGGACAAUGGGCGCAAGCCUGAUCCAGCCAUACCGCGUGGGUGAAGAAGGCCUUCGGGUUGUAAAGCCCUUUUGUUGGGAAUGAAAAGCAGCAGGUUAAUACCCCGCUGUUCUGACGGUACCCAAAGAAUAAGCACCGGCUAACUUCGUG
rnacentral:rRNA from 1 species